GGAUUAGAUACCCUGGUAGUCCACGCCGUAAACGAUGGAUACUAGCUGUAUGUCUACUUCAGGUAGAUGUGUGGCUAAGCGAAAGUGAUAAGUAUCCCACCUGGGGAGUACGAUCGCAAGAUUGAAACUCAAAGGAAUUGACGGGGGCCCGCACAAGCGGUGGAGCAUGUGGUUUAAUUCGAUGAUACGCGAGGAACCUUACCAGGGUUUAAAUGCAGAACGACAGGGGUGGAAACACCCCCUUCUUCGGACGGACUGCAAGGUGCUGCAUGGUUGUCGUCAGCUCGUGCCG
rnacentral:rRNA from 1 species